rnacentral:rRNA from 1 species
UACGUAGGGUGCGAGCGUUGUCCGGAAUUAUUGGGCGUAAAGAGCUUGUAGGCGGUCUGUCGCGUCUGCUGUGAAAAUCCGGGGCUCAACCCCGGACUUGCAGUGGGUACGGGCAGACUAGAGUGUGGUAGGGGAGACUGGAAUUCCUGGUGUAGCGGUGAAAUGCGCAGAUAUCAGGAGGAACACCGAUGGCGAAGGCAGGUCUCUGGGCCACUACUGACGCUGAGAAGCGAAAGCAUGGGGAGCAAACGGG